GACGUAGGAUGCGAGCGUUGUCCGGAAUCAUUGGGCGUAAAGGGAGCGUAGGCGGUUUCUUAAGUUUGGGCUUAAAGACCGGGGCUCAACCCCCGGGAGUGGCCUGAAUACUGGGAGGCUGGAGGACGGCAGAGGAAAGUGGAAUUCCCAGUGUAGCGGUGAAAAUGCGUAGAUAUUGGGAGGAACACCGGUGGCGAAGGCGGCAUCCUGGACCGGUAUUGACGCUGAGGCGCGAAAGCUAGGGGAGCAAACGGGG
rnacentral:rRNA from 1 species